UGAGGCCCAUGUCCUGAGGCCACAGAACAUAACUAUUCCACCCACCACCACCCCCCCAAAUACGGACUUGACCUAGAUUCAGUGAGGAACAGAGCAUUUUUAAACACAGCUUUCCUUCCUAAAAGCAUCUUAAGAUCCAAUGCUUGAUUACCUCUCUGGUUCCCACCUCCUGCAAAGAAGGUACCCUCUAGACCUGUGCUGCCCACAUGUGGCUGGUGAGCCGUGGCGAUGCGGCUAGCCUGAACUGAGAUGGUCUGUGAGGGCAAAGCGCACACUGGAUUCCAAAGACUUGGUAGGACAAAGAGAACUGUGGCUGUUAGGAGAUUCAGAAUUGCCUGUGUGGAACUUCGGGGGUGGCUCCCAUCAUAUUUCUACGGUGCUGCCCCAGAAGGUCCUGCCAUUGAGGUCCUGCUGAGACAGGGGAGCCAGAGCCAAGGAGGAAUGGGUGACUUUGCCGGGCAAAUGUCCCUCGCUUCUCAGACGUGUUUUCCCAGGAAGACUGCAUCGGUAAGGUGGGGAGCUCUGCCCAGGACGCAGAACAUCAACCCCACCGCAUUCACAUAUAAAGCCAGUGGUACAAAGCCGAGCCAUGAUCUUUGGAACCGGAUCGUUCCAGUCUCCGCAACACCAUCUACUAGCUGUGCAACCUGGGACUAGUUACCAGCCCUGAGCUUCCGCGUCCUCGUUUAUAAAAUGGGAAUAUAACA